rnacentral:rRNA from 1 species
UGGGGGAUAUUGCACAAUGGGCGAAAGCCUGAUGCAGCGACGCCGCGUGGGGGAUGAAGGCCUUCGGGUUGUAAACUUCUUUUGCUCUGAACAAGGCGCACCAUGGGGUGUGUUGAGUGUAGGGGUUGAUUAGCGCCGGCUAACUACGUGCCAGCAGCCGCGGUAAUACGUAGGGCGCGAGCGUUGUCCGGAAUUAUUGGGCGUAAAGGGCUUGUAGGUGGCUGGUUGCGUCUGUCGUGAAAGCUCAUGGCUUAACUGUGGGUUUGCGGUGGGUACGGGCUGGCUUGAGUGCAGUAGGGGAGGCUGGAAUUCCAGGUGUAGCGGUGGAAUGCGCAGAUAUCAGGAGGAAUACCGGUGGCGAAGGCGGGUCUCUGGGCUGUUACUGACACUGAGGAGCGAAAGCAUGGGGAGCGAACAGG